AUUGAACGCUGGCGGCAGGCCUAACACAUGCAAGUCGAGCGGAUGAAGGGAGCUUGCUCCUGGAUUCAGCGGCGGACGGGUGAGUAAUGCCUAGGAAUCUGCCUGGUAGUGGGGGAUAACGUCCGGAAACGGGCGCUAAUACCGCAUACGUCCUGAGGGAGAAAGUGGGGGAUCUUCGGACCUCACGCUAUCAGAUGAGCCUAGGUCGGAUUAGCUAGUUGGUGGGGUAAAGGCCUACCAAGGCGACGAUCCGUAACUGGUCUGAGAGGAUGAUCAGUCACACUGGAACUGGGACACGGUCCAGACUCCUACGGGAGGUAGCAGUGGGGAAUAUUGGACAAUGGGCGAAAGCCUGAUCCAGCCAUGCCGCGUGUGUGAAGAAGGUCUUCGGAUUGUAAAGCACUUUAAGUUGGGAGGAAGGGCAGUAAGUUAAUACCUUGCUGUUUUGACGUUACCAACAGAAUAAGCACCGGCUAACUUCGUG
rnacentral:rRNA from 1 species